ACGAGGAUGUUGGCGCCGACGAUGAAGCCGAUGGCGAUGGGCGCGAUGGUGCCGAGGGAGCCCUUCUUGGGGUCGGCCGCGGUGGCGUACACGGUGUAGACGAGGCCGAAGGUGACGAUGAUCUCCAUCACCACGCCCUCCAACGCGCCGAUGCCCGACAGGCCGUGGGUCGGGGUCGCCUGCAUGCCCAAGAGAAAACUUGCGUCAGUGUUCGGUUUGCUUAUCGAGCUCUAGCUGCCGGCGGCGAACUUGUUGACGUACUACGCCGGUGGAGUACUGGACGAGGACGGCGCCGACGAUGGCGCCGAGGAGCUGGGCGAUCCAGUAGAAGAGGCCGGUGAGGAUGGUGAUCUGGCCGCCGAGGGCGAGGCCGAAGGUGACGGCGGGGUUCACGUGGCCGCCGGAGAUGUUGGCGCCGAUGGCGACCGCGACGAACAGCCCGAACCCGUGGCACACCGCCACGGCGACCAGGCCGGCCGCGUCAAGAGGCGCGCCGCCGCUCAACUUGGCUGCAACGAUCCACCGAUACGGUUCGUUAGUGAACGCACAUCGUCGACCAAGCACAUGCAAGUUAGUUAGUUGUAAUGACCAAUGACUCACUGUAGGCGAUAGCGGAGCCGACGCCGGCGAAGACGAAGACGAGGGUGGAGAUGAACUCGGCGACGUAGGCCUUGAGGGAGGCCGCGCUGAAGGAGUCAUCGAAGCGGCCGAAGGCGAUGUUGCCCGACAUGGUGGCGGUGGCAGGGAAGGGCGAGGAGCUGACUGACCAAGGGGAUAGGAGCUACGAUGGUAGCCACUGGCUGAGAAU
rnacentral:lncRNA from 1 species